AUGGGUCUGCUCUCCGAAGGAAGCCCCCUGAGCUGGGAAGAGACGAAGAAAUUGUCCGAUCACGUGCGCAAGCAUGGAGUUAUUCAAUUUAUUAACCUGUACAAGCGGCUCCGAGAUAGACAAGGAGACGUUCUUAAGUGGGGCGACGAGGUAGAAUAUAUACUCGUAAAAUUUGAUGACAAUGCAAAAACUGCAAAGCUCAGUUUAAGAGCUAUGGAAAUAUUAAGAAUCUUAAAUGAGAGAGAAAAUGAGGAUCCAGAUAAUGUAAAAUCUCUUUGGAGACCAGAAUAUGGCGCUUAUAUGUUGGAAGGAACUCCAGGAAAACCAUAUGGAGGAUUAUUAGCUCAUUUUAACGUUGUUGAAGCUAAUAUGCGUUAUCGGAGACAAGAGGCAACAAAGUUACUCCAACCUAAUGAGGUCUUAAUGUCAUUAACUGUUUUUCCAAGAGUAGGAGCUUCAGAUUUUACCGAUCCUUCUUCUUAUCCAACACCUAAUGCUGGCGCUUCUAAGAGCUUAUUUUUUCCUGAUGAAGCUAUAUAUCCCGGUCAUCCACGUUUCAAGACACUGACCAGGAAUAUUAGAGAACGACGUCAAGAAAAAGUUGCUAUAAACAUUCCUAUUUUCAGAGAUGAAAAUGUGCCAUUAUUAUUCAAAGAAGACUUUAUCAGCAAGGGAGAUGAUGGAUCUUCUUCAAAAGCUGCUAAAGAUAAUUACAUUUACAUGGACGCAAUGGGUUUUGGAAUGGGAUGUUGUUGUUUGCAACUUACGUUUCAAGCAUGUAAUAUAGAAGAAGCGAGAACAUUGUACGAUCAAUUGACACCUUUAUGUCCAAUCAUGUUGGCUUUAACCGCUGCAAGUCCGUUUUAUCGAGGCUAUAUAAGCGAUGUUGAUUGUCGAUGGAAUGUCAUAUCCUCGUCAGUGGACUGUAGGACAAAGGAAGAACGUGGAUUGAAACCUCUUAAAGAGAACAAAUUUAGAAUUAGUAAGUCCAGGUACGAUUCUAUUGAUUCGUACCUUAGCGAGCAAGGUGAAAAGUAUAAUGAUGUUCCUUUGACGUACGACGAUGAGAUAUAUAAACAACUUGUGGAUAAUGGAAUUGAUCACUUACUUGCGCAACACAUAGCUCAUCUGUUCAUCAGAGAUAGUGUUUCCUUAUUUUCCGAGAAAGUUCAUCAAAAUGAUUUGGAGGAUACUGAUCACUUCGAGAAUAUACAGUCUACAAACUGGCAAACUAUGCGCUUUAAACCGCCACCUCCAAACUCAUCUAUUGGUUGGCGUGUAGAAUUCCGUCCAUGUGAAGUUCAAAUUACGGACUUCGAAAAUGCCGCGAUAGUUUGUUUCACAGUACUGUUGACGAGAGUCAUUCUGAGUUACAAGUUAAAUCUUUUAAUCCCGAUCAGCAAAGUCGAUCAGAAUAUGAUCAGGGCACAGAACAGAGAUGCAGUGAAAUUAGAGAAAUUUUGGUUUCGUCAUAAUAUUACUUCCGAUAAAAAGUCCGACAACACUUUGACGGAGUAUACUGAGUUUACAAUCAAUGAAAUUAUUAACGGAAAGAAUGGUGUUUUUCCUGGUCUUGUGCCACUUGUGAAUUCGUAUCUAGCUAAUAUGAAUGUAGACGCUGAUACACACUGCACUAUUCAAAGAUACCUAAAAUUAAUACAGAAACGAGCUUGUGGUGAACUGUUAACAACUGCCGCUUGGCUAAGAAAAGAAGUCACUUCACAUCCUGAAUAUAAGCAUGAUGCCGUAAUAACACAGCGCAUCAAUUACGAUUUACUAAAAAAAAUUCAUAACAUCGUUUCUAAUGAUGUAUCGUGUCCGGAAUUACUUGGACAAUGUGUAUUGUCUAAAACUACUGAUACUAUACCUGCUGCUGUUGCUAAAGCGGAAAAGUGUUCAACAAUAAAUUGUUAAUAACAGUGAUGUCAGAAUUUCAGGCAAACUAGUCAUCGAGCCAUUUUCGUACAUUUUUGUAAGAUGAAGCGCUGCUCAGCAAAUGCGUGUCCCAUCGAUGCAAAUAAGUAAUAAUCGGAUGCAGCCAAGUCUGAGUAAGAAAGAGAACACAGCGCUGUAUACGCCGCAGUAAAACGGCAAGGCGGAGAGGGAGAACUGAACGAUUGUCGAAAGCGCUCGAACAAUGAUCCACAAGAGUCUUCCAUUAUCUCUAUGGACCGAGGCGAUUGACACCGCCGUGUUCGUGUUAAGUUGGACCGUGUCGUCGAGCGGAUCUUCCAUGCUGUACGAGAAGUGGGUAAGGAAGAAGCCGACAAUAAAUCAUCCAAGGAUCUUUGGCUCAGUGGCGUAUGUAAACACGCCGAAGCAAUUCACGAAGAAGUUCGACUUGCAAGGUCGAAAAAUGAUUCUAGUCGGAUACGGGUGAUUCCGUAAAUUAUCGCGUUUAUGAUCCGGAGACGAAGCAAGUCAGCGUCACGCGAGACGUGAAAUUUCACGAGCAGAUUGGCAAGGUGGAAAUCGGUGAGGAUGAAGACGGAAUCGAGACGAUAACGCUUCAAAAGGUGAAAGACGAGACUUAAGAUCGAGAAAACGAAGCAGUUCCGAAAGAGUGCGAAGCUCAGCAACAUGAAGAACCACGAGUAAUCGGAAAUCAAGCUCAAGGAAGUCGAGAAGCUUGGGCAAAAGAAGAGUGACCGGCAGAAAAAGAAGAGCGACCUGUAGAAGACGAAGGGCGAGUUUUGCGAAGACGAGAAACAAUUCAUAGGUCCAGAUACGAAUACGAGGUCGAUGUCGCCGAGUAUGUGUCGCCAAAUUCGUGUGAGGAAGCUACUCGAGGCGUUAAUGCCGCGCAGUAGGCACGCGCUAUCGACGAAGAGCUUCAGGCACAUGACACAAAUAAAACGUGGACAAUCGUGCUGAAACACCAGGAACAAAGACGAUCGAUUCCAAGUGGGUGUUUUGAGUCAAGGAGGAUCUUGUGAAAGGAAUUCAGCGAUUCAAGGCAAGGCUGUGUGCACGAGGAUUCCUGCAGCAACGCGGAAUCGACUAUACAAAGACAUUUGCACCGGUCGUGCGAUACGACUCGCUCCGUGUAUUUCUGGCAGCCGUCACCGAGAAGGAUCUCGAACUACUGUAAUUUGAUGUCCAAACAGCGUCCCUCUACGGCAAAUUGGAGGAGGAUAUUUUCAUGAAAAUUCCGAAGGGUCUGGCCGUCGAGGGAAGUGAAGGGACCGAAAUGGUGUGCAAAUUGAAUAAGUUUCUGUAUGGGCUUAAGCAAGCAUCUCGGUGUUGGAAUAAGAAAUUCCUUGAAAUUUUAAGCCAAUUCGAUCUAAAGUGCAGUCAAGCCGAUCAGUGUAUUUUUGUUGGACAAGUAAAUGGCGAAACCGUUUAUUUAGCUCUUUUUGUAGACGACGAUCUUGUUGCGGCGGAAACGGAAUUUACAUUAAAUUAUAUUACGAAUAAUUUGCACGAAGCAUUUAAAAUUAAAAUCGGAGACUCGAGCUGUUUUGUUGGGAUGCAAAUUGAGAGAAAUUGAAAAAACAAAUCACUCGUGAUUUAUCAAACUGCGUACGUUGAGAAAAUUCUAGAGAAAUUCGGAAUGCGAGAAGCAAAACCGGCUAGUGUACCAAUCGAUCCGCACGUAACCUUGUAUCCAGUUAAAGAGAAUAACAAGCCAUUGAGUAUCGUGCCGUAUCGCGAGGCAAUCGGAUUCUUAGUCUUUCUGGCGGCGGUGUCUCGUCCAGACAUAGCGUUUGCCGUGAAUUCCGUGAGUAAAUUUCUAAACGAACACAGUGUCGAGCACUGGCGAGCGGUCAAGCGAAUUUUUGCUUAUCUAAAAGGAACAAAAGAUUACGGAUUAGAAUACAAAAGCGGUGGUAGCAGAACAGAGCUCGUAGGCUUUUCUGACGCGGGUUAUGCGAACGACGUCGAGACUCGCAGGUCGACGACGGGAUAUAUAUUCUGUAUGGUAAACGGGCCAGUGUCGUGGUCUUCUCAAAGACAAAAGCUAGUUGUGUUAGCACAAUCGAGUCAGAAUAUGUAGCUGCUGCGACAGCGACCAAAGAGGCCAUAUGGCUGCGUAAGCUAAUCAGCGACUUUUAGGAUAUUCAUGUGAACCCGAAUUAACAUUGUACGUCGAUAAUCAGAGCGCGAUACGCUUGGUGAACAACUCUGUUUUUCACAAGCGUACAAAACAUAUCGACAUACGUUACCACUAUAUAUGCGAGAAAUUCGAGAGCAAUGAGAUAAAGGUAAUGUAUGUAUCAUCGGAGAUGCAGCGAGCCGACUUCCUCACUAAAGCGCUGCCGAGAGAUCGUUUCCGGAAGUUAUGCGAGAUAAUAAAUAUAGCUUCGAUUCACAACGUAAACGCUCAAACGACGGUAGUGUUGAGGCAGUUAGUUUAUCGCGUUGAAGUUGACGGCGCGAAAGAGCUGUGCGAGGAUGGUGGCGGCGGCGUUCCGUCCAGCAGCGCGUGACGUGGGAUAUGUAAGAAUCAGCGAUCAGGCGCCUUCGGCUAAAAUCGGGUUACUGACCAAGGAGCAGAGAGCACAUUGGUUCAUCUGCCCUCUCCGGCCCAAUCUUGUCUUGUCUCGCCGUCGAACUAUGUAACGCGCACACGUGUGAAGCCUUGUGAUAAUAAAACUAACGAGUAUCAUUUUUGUAAAA
rnacentral:misc_RNA from 1 species